rnacentral:rRNA from 1 species
UUCGCCCUUCGGUUGAUCCUGCCGGACCUGACUGCUAUCGGAUUGAUACUAAGCCAUGCGAGUCAUUGUAGCAAUACAAGGCAGACGGCUCAGUAACGCGUAGUCAACCUACCCUAUGGACGGGAAUAACCUCGGGAAACUGAGUAUAAUGCCCGAUAGAACACUAUACCUGGAAUGGUUUGUGUUUCAAAUGAUUUAUUGCCGUAGGAUGGGACUGCGGCCUAUCAGUUUGUUGGUGAGGUAAUGGCCCACCAAGACUAUUACAGGUACGGGCUCUGAGAGGAGUGGCCCGGAGAUGGGUACUGAGACACGGACCCAGGCCCUAUGGGGCGCAGCAGGCGAGAAAACUUUGCAAUGUGCGAAAGCACGACAAGGUUAAUCCGAGUGGUUUCUGCUAAAGGAACCUUUUGACAGUCCUAGAAACACUGUUGAAUAAGGGGUGGGCAAGUUCUGGUGUCAGCCGCCGC